GUCGCCAGCCGCCGGCAAGGGGUAAACGGGGGGCAAGCGGUUGUUCGGAAUUACUGGGCGUAAAGGGCGCGUAGGCGGCCUGCUAAGUCGAACGUGAAAUCCCUGGGCUCAACCCAGGAACUGCGUCCGAUACUGGUUGGCUUGAAUCCGGGAGAGGGAUGUGGAAUUCCAGGUGUAGCGGUGAAAUGCGUAGAUAUCUGGAGGAACACCGGUGGCGAAGGCGGCAUCCUGGACCGGUAUUGACGCUGAGGCGCGAAAAGCUAGGGGAGCAAACGGGG
rnacentral:rRNA from 1 species